rnacentral:rRNA from 1 species
UACGUAGGUGACCAGCGUUGUCCGGAUUUACUGGGCGUAAAGAGCGCGCAGGCGGUCGUUCAAGUCGAGUGUGAAAGCCCCCGGCUCAACUGGGGAGGGUCAUUCGAUACUGAUCGACUCGAAGGCAGGAGAGGGAAGUGGAAUUCCCGGUGUAGUGGUGAAAUGCGUAGAUAUCGGGAGGAGCACCAGUGGCGAAGGCGACUUCCUGGCCUGUUCUUGACGCUGAGGCGCGAAAGCUAGGGGAGCAAACGGG